UCCCUGGUGGCUCAUAGGGUAAAGUGUCUGCCUACAAUGUGGGAGACUCAGGUUCGAUCCCUGGCUUGGGAA
rnacentral:tRNA from 1 species